rnacentral:rRNA from 1 species
AACGCAGUAGCAAUACUGAGUGGCAAACGGGUGAGUAUAAUGUGGGAAUCUGCCUUUUGGUUUGGAAUAACACGGGGAAACUUGUGCUAAUACCAAAUAAGCCCUUACGGGGAAAGUUUUAAUGCCAAAAGAUGAGCCCGCACUUGAUUAGCUAGUUGGUAAGGUAAAGGCUUACCAAGGCAACGAUCAAUAGCUGUUCUUAGAGGAAGACCAGCCACAUUGGGACUGAGACACGGCCCAGACUCCUACGGGAGGCAGCAGUGGGGAAUCUUGCACAAUGGGGGAAACCCUGAUGCAGCGAUGCCGCGUGAGUGAAGAAGGCCCUUGGGUUGUAAAACUCUUUCGUCGGGGAAGAAAAUG